GCGGCGUCUCGCGGUCCUGGCCGGGGCGCGGGCGGCGGCGUUCCCGGGGCUGGGGGCGGGGAGGGGGGGCUCGGCCGGGCUCGCAGCCCGCGUCUUCUCGUGAGAGUGUCCCGGGUCGGGUCAGGGCCCCCGGGCACCGCCGUGCGCUGAGAGGCCGUCCGGCUGGGAGGCCUCCCCGGGCUGAGCACCCCCGGUCCGGCUGACACCCUCCCGGGCUGAGCACCCCCCUCCCGGGCUGAGCACCCCCCGUCCGGCUGACACCCCCUCCCUCACUCCCUGCCCCCACCGCUGAGUACACCCCCGCCCAGCAGGUCCCUGUGCAGCCCCCCCGCCCCGCCCUGGGAGGUCCUGGGGCCCCAGGUCUGGCCGUGUUCGCCCAGGCAGUUCACACGGGAGAAGGGAGAACGGAGGAGAGGGGCCAGGGUGGGAAGGACGCUUUGGGGGAGGAGCCGGAGCGCGGUCCCUGCCACCGGGGUCGCGGGAGGAGGGGCCGGGGCUCGGGGCUGCUGGACGCGAGUCCUGUGGGAGCCUUGUUGGGUCUAGAAGGGUGUUAGGAGUGCAGCAGGCGUGGGAAGCCCUGCCCGAGCCUCGGAUCUGUGCUGCCGAGAGCGCCGAGAGCGCUCCAGGCCCUCCAGGGGUGCGGCGUGCGGACGAGCAGGCGCACCUGCCUCCCAGCCCCGAGCACAGCCACGCGCGGGAAGACCUGGUGGCGCCCGAGGCUUCCGCGCCCGCACCGGCCACCUCGCCCAGACGGGCCUUCCCAGCACAGUCACGGUGAGAAAACCUCCAGGCCAGGGCGUCACCCGGUCCGGCAUCACCCUGGAGAAAGGCCUCGAGUGUGCAGGGAGUGUGCAGGGAGUGUGCAGGGAGCGCGUGCUCCUUGUUCAGCCCCACAGGACACGCACCGGAGACGCUGAGAACAGCCCCUGCGAGGACGUGGUUAGCCGGAGCCAACACGCACCGGGGCAUGGUCCGAGUGCCAGUGAGCCGUUACGGAGGGGUGCGUACCCUCAGCAGAGAGUGGCCCUGCGCGCUCCUUCCCCAAGAACCGUACUCGGCAUCUCAGCGUCAAGCCACCAGAGCUCUGAACCGUGUCUGUGGACGUCUGUGUUUUGUCUCAAUUUAUUUCGUGCAUCUGUUAGCAAGAUGUGUCCUAAGGUAAUCAGAAAAGCCUAAGAAAGGUGAUUUUUUGGGUCUGGGAACCCUCAAAAGUUUUCCAUAUAAAUUACUGGUAAUUGCUUCUUCGCUUUAUGCCAUUUCGGUUUACCAAAGGUUCCAUGGGAGCACUCUACUUUUGUGCGUGCGUGUUUAAAGGUUUUAUUUAUUUAUGCAAGAGAGCACAACGGGGGGGGAGGGGCAGAGGGAAAGGGAGACGCAGACUCCCUGCUGAGCAGCGGACCGGAUGGGGGACUCCAUCCCAGGAUCCCAGGACUCCUGGAUCAAGACCCGAGCCGAAGAUAGACACUUAACCCCCUGAGCCACCCUGCUGCCCUGGGAAUGCACUACUUUUGGAAAGCAGGGGAAACCUGUACUGGUUCUGUAGUGGUUGGGCCCUUCUCUAGGGCAGAGAAGUCCACUGAGUUGCCCACCUGCCGGAGUGCCAAGGAAAUCUGCUGGGCAGCUGCUUGCAGGGAGGGGUGAGGUUGAACUUGCUGGGAAGCUAGCUGGAGCGGGCUGGACUCCCUGCGACCGAGGCGGAGCUGCCUGCUGGGUGCUGCUGCAACUUGCUGGAGGUGGGAGCUCCCCUGCUGUCCCACAUCCCAGCCAAAGGCCAGGGGGGUAAGAAGCAAGUACUUUCCUCCACCCAGUGCCCCCUCUCGUGCCCUCUACUGACAAGCCUAGCUCGCCAGCUGGCAAGGAAGAAAGGUUCCAGCAUCACAGCCGAGCAACGGAGAAUGCGUUCGGGAGGGCUUAAAGGAGGGUUCAGCGAGUGCUGCAGCGUUCUUCUGCCUGGGACCCAGGCGCCCCUCCGGUCAAGGGGUCUGGGACUGUAAUUGAGCUACCUUCUAGGGACUGGCUGAGAGGCAGGCACCACCGCGGUUGUGACCCAAGGCCGGUUUGGGGCUACAAGAUCUAAAGUUUUUCCACCCAGUUUCAUCAUCAGUAUUCACGUAUUUCUAGGGGCACCGUGUUCCAUUGACCACUGUCGCAGGCCCCUGUGGACCAUGGUAUUUUUUUUAAAGAUUUUAUUUGUUUAUUCAUGAUAGACAGAGAGGCAGAGACACAGGCAGAGGAAGAAGCAGGCUCCACGCAGGGAGCCCGACGUGGGACUUGAUCCCGGGUCUCCAGGAUCACGCCCUGGGCCAAAGGCAGGCGCUAAACCGCUGAGCCACCCAGGGAUCCCCUGGGCCAUGGUAUUUUGAUUACCGGUACCUACGUGCUGUCCUUCGUGUCCCUGCCUGUGGCGGUUGGGUCCUGCCACCUGGUCGGGUCCUCUGCUCCUCCAGAUCCAUCAUCCCCAGUGAGGGCAGCCCAUCUGCCCAUCUCAUCCCCACCACUACAGCUACCUGCCAUGGGGAGUAACCAGAGUCUUCCAAGGAUGAGCGUGCUCCUCUCACUAAUGUAUUUCUUCGUGCCUUAGUGAAAAUGUGCAGUUAGGAGAUAAAGGUGCAGGUCGCGCAUGAUAAAUCGAGCCCGACGUUCCUCUUACCUUGUUAAAUGGAGGCCAUUUUUGAGUUUAGGUUUCCAUCAAGCAAUCCCAUAUGCUGUUAGAGCCACCUCCCGCUGCCCAAGUGGGUACCUGAAACCUGGAUUCUCUAGUAACUUUAUCAUCAUCAGUAAAUUUGGUCUGACCUGGUGUUAUAUUCCAUCCACUUUGCUCUAACACCCUUAGAAUCCACAUAUGUUCUCCAUAUUUCUACAGAUAGGUAUUAGCAAAGCCCUCCUGGUUUCCUAGGUGUGCAAGCUGUUCUGUCGAGGGCACAGUGUAUACCCGUCCCUCUGACGCACCCUGCAGUGUGACCCUAGGUAUGGGUCUGGUGGCAACAGAGGGUGUUGUGAACGAGUGUUCCCCUAUCAAGGCACCCACCUACCCUUGGCACGGUCAUCCCAGGACUUUCAAGCAAAGGAAGACUAAUCUUCUAAGGCACCACGGGCCAACCUCAUGGGCACAGAGUGACUCAAGGUUUAAGAUGGUCAGUUAUACCUGAGUCCGACCGCAUGUCUCCACCCUGAGUUUCACGAUCCUUUCCGGUCAGUGCCCUGGCUUUCCCUUGAGAAAGGUGAGGCUGUGAAUCCAACUGUUGUUCUCAACAAAUGCAGUUAAUGUUUCCAUGUGGCUUUUAGCAAUAGCCCAGUGACUACGACAAGCAGGCUUCCGUGAGAGCGGUCCCUGAAGAUCUCCGGUUCUCGCCAUGACUACUCAUUUUCUGUAAGCACUCUGGUGCACUGGAGAGGCUCCGUCCCACAUCGGGGUUUCUGUGGCAUCAUUAGCACCAUAAGAAGACGAGCUCAGCAGCUGCCGGGGCUCCAAGGCACUUGCUGCGGUCAGGAUCACAAUCAGCCCGAGGUGAUAGCUCCAUUAAUUCUUAGGCCAGUGCACGGCAUGGAUUACUGGCUUCCCAUUUCCCACUGGUAACGGGCUCAUCAGGAGGCUGUUGAGUACGACAGGUGUCAGGUGAGGAGUACGAGUCACUUCCCAAAUCCCACCUGUGCAAGCCUAUCCCUUGUGAUUACUCCUGGUACCGUGUGGUACCAGUCAGGGGCCAGGCCGGCAGAGAGGAACCAUCCAGAAUCCGAACAAAGCAGGUUGGAUAUAAAGAAUAUUAGCUAUUUCCAGGGAUUUAACUACUAUGUGGAGAUGAAAGAAGAUUCUAAGGAAUGCUCCGAGGGACAGUACCAAGGAAGGAACAAAUCUGGGAGGAAGCAAUCCCUCCCUAAGGGUGUGGAGAUUGAGACCUUGUUGGAGAUGGUGCCGUUUCAGCUCAGCAGAUGGCAGAGGAAUUUGAUGGGCUGAUCCGGACUGGAGGCGGGCCGUGUUUGUUGGGGCAAGAACUAUGAGCCAGCAGAAGGGAGAACCCUGCCACUGCCCACCCGCAGGUCCCAACCCCCCCACAGUGUGGGGUGUCCGCACAAUUCUCCUGGAAUGGAGGUGCUGUCAGACUUGCUGAGAAGCCUGCUGGGGCACGGCUGCCCUUGCUGGGGAGCUGCUGGGGAGCUGCUGGGGAGCCCUCCCCCCCACCGGGAAGCCCCCGCGUCACUGGGUGUGCAGCAGCCCACCGAGGGCCUGGGGAACAGGGAGGAGGGAAAGCAGGCGGGAACCAGGGAGGCAAACCUGCUGCUCCCCGACCCUCCUCCUCCCUCUCCCGACAGAGCCAGGGCCGCAUCCCCUGGCCGGGCCGUGGAAAGCACGGGUACUGCUGAGCGGCAAGUUAGGGUACCUUGAUGGACAAAGGCCAACCUAUGUGGACGGAGAAAAGAAACAAUGGCCCAUCGCACUUAGGCAUAGAUGGGAAAUCCUGAAGAAAACCCAGAAAACUUGCUUUAGCGAUACAUAAAAUACGGCGCGUUAAGACCGUGGGGCUCAUCGCAGCAGCAGGGGGCUGCACA
rnacentral:lncRNA from 1 species